ensembl:lncRNA
CAUCUCCUGAAGUCCAUAUGGUCCCUCUCUAUCUCCCCACACAUCCACCAACCACUGGAACACAUCUCCAAAGUUCUGCCGGGCCAGCUCAGCUUCCCCUCAGAAGUGCCGCCACCUGCCAGAUGAAGGAGCCUUUUGAGAGGCAGCUGGCAUCGUGAUUGGACUGUACUUUGGUCUGUUCCAAUCCAGCUUCAGCUCCAGAGACGGCAGGCGGGACGAGUCAACGGAGGCCGGGUGGACGAAGGCAUGAAGCUGAGUACAAUCCAGAAAACAACAGAGGAGGAGUGCAGGGCCAGAACAACCAGAGUAGCAUCGUAUGUCUCUUAGAAAACAUCAUAGUAUAGCCUUUGGUAUGAAAAAAC